GAUGAACGCUGGCGGCGUGCCUAAUACAUGCAAGUCGAGCGAAUGGAUUAAGAGCUUGCUCUUAUGAAGUUAGCGGCGGACGGGUGAGUAACACGUGGGUAACCUGCCCAUAAGACUGGGAUAACUCCGGGAAACCGGGGCUAAUACCGGAUAACAUUUUGAACCGCCUGGUUCGAAAUUGAAAGGCGGCUUCGGCUGUCACUUAUGGAUGGCAUCGGGUCGCAGUAGCUAGUUGGUGGGGUAACGGCUCACCAAGGCAACGAGGCGUAGCCGACCUGAGAGGGUGAUCGGCCACACUGGGACUGAGACACGGCCCAGACUCCUACGGGAGGCAGCAGUAGGGAAUCUUCCGCAAUGGACGAAAGUCUGACGGAGCAACGCCGCGUGAGUGAUGAAGGCUUUCGGGUCGUAAAACUCUGUUGUUAGGGAAGAACAAGUGCUAGUUGAAUAAGCUGGCACCUUGACGGUACCUAACCAGAAAGCCACGGCUAACUACGUGCCAGCCGCCGCCGUAA
rnacentral:rRNA from 1 species